CUAAAAUCUAUAAGGAGAGAUGAAGUAUGAAGAUACUGUCUGAACAUUUAAAUGUUUCCGGCAUUUGGAGCCAUAAGAGACUGCAGAGGCUGGAAAUCUGGAGCAACAUAUGAAAAGCUGGAGUAACUCCAAUAGUCAAGUUGCAUCAAUGGACGGAAAUGGACGGUCAUUGUCACCAAUCGAGACUCUUCAGGCAGCAACAAUUGACAGAAUUGAAAUCACCAAAUCGGAACAGAACCAAAAUGAAGUGUCCUCCAAUCAUAUGAAUGAACUACAAACAGAAGUCAGGGAGCAGCGAUGUA